AGAGAGGAGCGAGCGACUCCUGCGCAAGCGCAGAGUGAAGGGCCGGGAACAGUGGAGGGUGCGAGGAAGACAAUGGGGGAGGACCCUGAGGCGGCCUCUGUGAGCCGACAGGAACACGUGGUCGAUCAGAGAGAGACUGUAUUUAAAGUCAUUUCCGCAGUUAAUUGCUUCAUGCUGAUGUAGUUUCUGAAAACUUCACAAGCACACAAAAAUCCUAGAACAUGGUGUCUUUUAGGAGGUUCGUGAACGGAUGGGGAGGACCCUGAAAAGCACUGUGGAAUACAGGUUUCUAGUAACUUCAAAAUCACAUCAUUUGGACUGGGUAAGAAUUGCUGAAACUUUAAUGAAAAGACUGACUGGCUUAUAAAACUGCUAACCCAAAUAGAAUAAAAAUUAAUUGAAUACCGAGGAAAUGCUUCACCAGGUUUGCAUACUUAAUCAGCCUAUACUGAAAUUGUUUAGAUAUACAAUUUGAAUGAACUCCAUGGUCUAAGUCAAAUUACCUGUGAUAACCCAUCAGUUAUCUCAUCAAUUUUUCUAGCUUCUUUGGGAUGUCCGCUCUGCAUAUCUACUAAGGAAUUAAGAAAUAAUGGCUUCAGCAAGAAACAAGGCAGGAAAGUGCAGUGACAUGAGGACCAUACAGGGAAGGAGCUGUCCCCAAAGCACGAUGAGCCACUUGAGGCCAGGUACAGCCAUGGCGUGUAUCCCAGAGCACCUGUGAGAAUGUCUCACAGACAGUCCGUCUCUCCUGAAUAUGAAGGGAUGGGCACCAGCCGGAGCCACCAUCCGUGUGACUGGCCCGUGGCCGCCUCCAGCUCACACAGAACCUCUGCACGCAACGGAAAAAGGUCUCCCCUGGGUGAAUGGGGUGGGAAACGUGUGCCCCUCCAGGCGGCUGGUGAGCAGAGUGCUCCCCUCGGCAGGGUGUGACUUGUACAGCUCCACCACGGGCCCUGUAACAAGACAGGCUUCGACCCUGCCCUCUUGCAGCUCGUAUGUAUGAGGGGCAGCCCAAUAAAUAAAUAAGCAAGCAGGGUCUUUGUGACUUGUACCUUGUGCGGACCUCCUACUCAUCCUGUGACUAAGAACACUGAACUUCCUGGGGUUACAGCCCACAGGUCUCAGCCUCAUUUCAUCCAGCCCCUAUUCAAGAUGGAGUCGCUCUGGUUCAAAUGCCUCUGACACUAGUAAGGAUCACAGGUGGCAUCAACAGGUUUGGAGCAAACCUGAGUGUCUCCCGGUUGGUCACAUCUCAACUGACGAAAUCCACGACCAGCAGAGAGCAGCCUCCUUGCCCCCUGUGCUCACUGAGUCAUCCAGCCCAUUUUGACCAAGAUUAUGUGAGUUGCUGGAGCAGAGGUUGGUUGAGGGAGCUCCCACUGUAUGUAAUCACCGUGUCUUGCACAAAAUAAAUAGAAAACACAAGAAUACACUCUUAUGCAUGAUCCU
rnacentral:lncRNA from 1 species